GGGGAAUUUUCCGCAAUGGGCGAAAGCCUGACGGAGCAAUACCGCGUGAGGGAGGAAUGCCUUUGGGUUGUAAACCUCUUUUCUCAGGGAAGAAGAUCUGACGGUACCUGAGGAAUAAGUACCGGCUAACUCCGUGCCAGCAGCCGCGGUAAUACGGAGGAUGCAAGCGUUAUCCGGAAUCAUUGGGCGUAAAGCGUCCGCAGGUGGUUUCCAAAGUCUGCUGUUAAAGACUGGAGCUCAACUCCGGAACGGCGGUGGAAACUUGGAAACUAGAGUUCGGUAGGGGUAGCAGGAAUUCCCAGUGUAGCGGUGAAAUGCGUAGAUAUUGGGAAGAACAUCGGUGGCGAAGGCGUGCUACUGGACCGUAACUGACACUCAGGGACGAAAGCUAGGGGAGCGAAAGGGAUUAGAUACCCCUGUAGUCCUAGCUGUAAACGAUGGAAACUAGGUGUGGCUUG
rnacentral:rRNA from 1 species